CUAGGACCUCACUUUGAAACUCAGGGCUCUACCAGAGUGCUGCCUGCCUUGUGCCUCGAACGGAUUGCAUAUGUUCACAGCGAGAGGCACUUAACUCACAUGUGUUGAUUUUGCACCCUAUAGAUUCCUUGCGGGACGUGCUAUUUCCUGUGGAACCAGGACACUGACUUCUCUUGCUAAGGUUCCUUCUGGAAGCUGAAGAUGAGCAGGGUCAUCUUACUAGUGUAUGCUGGGACAUGUGAAGUCUGGGGUCUUUAAGUGCGGUCAGACUCCAGAGAAGGAAAACAAGAUGUGGGCAAAAAGAAGGCCUUGUAGAACCAUCUGGAAGAGCUGGAAGGAAGCUUGGAGAAGACAUAGCAGAAGUGACUUGGACCUCAAGCCACUGCACCCCAGCCCAUACCACGCGGGGAAGGGCACUAGCUACAUGUGCAACCAACGGAGAGGUUGAU